rnacentral:rRNA from 1 species
GAUGAACGCUGGCGGCGUGCCUAAUACAUGCAAGUCGAGCGAAUGGAUUAAGAGCUUGCUCUUAUGAAGUUAGCGGCGGACGGGUGAGUAACACGUGGGUAACCUGCCCAUAAGACUGGGAUAACUCCGGGAAACCGGGGCUAAUACCGGAUAACAUUUUGAACCGCAUGGUUCGAAAUUGAAAGGCGGCUUCGGCUGUCACUUAUGGAUGGACCCGCGUCGCAUUAGCCAGUUGGUGAGGUAACGGCUCACCAAGGCAACGAUGCGUAGCCGAACUGAGAGGCUGAUCGGCCACACUGGGACUGAGACACGGCCCAGACUCCUACGGGAGGCAGCAGUAGGGGAUCUUCCGCAAUGGACGAAAGUCUGACGGAGCAACGCCGCGUGAGUGAUGAAGGCUUUCGGGUCGUAAAACUCUGUUGUUAGGGAAGAACAAGUGCUAGUUGAAUAAGCUGGCACCUUGACGGUACCUAACCAGAAAGCCACGGCUAACUACGUGCCAGCCGCCGCAGUAA